CAGUAGCCGCGGGAAUACGAACCGUGCGAACGUUAUUCGGAAUUACUGGGCUUAAAGCGCGUGUAGGCGGGCCGGCACGUCCGACGCUGAAAUCCCCCGGCUCAACCGGGGAAGUGGCGGGGAUACGACCGGCCUCGAGGGGGGUAGGGGGACCUGGAACUUCCGGUGGAGCGGUGAAAUGCGUUGAGAUCGGAAGGAACGCCCGUGGCGAAAGCGAGGUCCUGGACCCUUUCUGACGCUGAGACGCGAAAGCCAGGGGAGCGAACGGGAUUAGAUACCCCAGUAGUCCCUGUCUCUUAUA
rnacentral:rRNA from 1 species